rnacentral:rRNA from 1 species
AUAAUGGGUCAGCGACUUAUAUUCUGUAGCAAGGUUAACCGAAUAGGGGAGCCGAAGGGAAACCGAGUCUUAACUGGGCGUUAAGUUGCAGGGUAUAGACCCGAAACCCGGUGAUCUAGCCAUGGGCAGGUUGAAGGUUGGGUAACACUAACUGGAGGACCGAACCGACUAAUGUUGAAAAAUUAGCGGAUGACUUGUGGCUGGGGGUGAAAGGCCAAUCAAACCGGGAGAUAGCUGGUUCUCCCCGAAAGCUAUUUAGGUAGCGCCUCGUGAAUUCAUCUCCGGGGGUAGAGCACUGUUUCGGCAAGGGGGUCAUCCCGACUUACCAACCCGAUGCAAACUGCGAAUACCGGAGAAUGUUAUCACGGGAGACACACGGCGGGUGCUAACGUCCGUCGUGAAGAGGGAAACAACCCAGACCGCCAGCUAAGGUCCCAAAGUCAUGGUUAAGUGGGAAACGAUGUGGGAAGGCCCAGACAGCCAGGAUGUUGGCUUAGAAGCAGCCAUCAUUUAAAGAAAGCGUAAUAGCUCACUGGUCGAGUCGGCCUGCGCGGAAGAUGUAACGGGGCUAAACCAUGCACCGAAGCUGCGGCAGCGACGCUUAUGCGUUGUUGGGUAGGGGAGCGUUCUGUAAGCCUGCGAAGGUGUGCUGUGAGGCAUGCUGGAGGUAUCAGAAGUGCGAAUGCUGACAUAAGUAACGAUAAAGCGGGUGAAAAGCCCGCUCGCCGGAAGACCAAGGGUUCCUGUCCAACGUUAAUCGGGGCAGGGUGAGUCGACCCCUAAGGCGAGGCCGAAAGGCGUAGUCGAUGG